AUGAGCCCGCGUGGGCUGGGCGUGAUGGAGAGCUGCCGGGGCGGCUGGCAGCCCGGCUGCGUGAGCUGCAGAAGGGGCUGCACCACCUCCUCCUUCGGCUUGCUGUCUGCAAAGAUGCUUGUAAAUGCCUUGAGCGUAACCCAAAGAGCAGGAGAGCGCAGCUUUCCCCUCCCGCACCGUGGCUGGGUGGGCAGCAAGAGCAGUGCCAGCAGGGACCCUCGCCUCACCUUGCCUUGCCUUCCUUUUUCUUUCUUUUUUAAUCCUGAAUGGUCAGCUCAGUGCAGCUGUGGGGAGAAAAGUGACGUUCACAAAGAUCCAUUUUUGGUUAGUUUUCCUGUAGUGAACCAGGAGAGCUUGUUGAGUUGCCGAUAAGCAGGCUGGUUGUAGGCUGGUGCCUAAUAAGGAUUUUCUGCUGUAUCUUGUAGAUUAGCCUUUGUCAUGUUGCAUGAAGUCUCAGCACCCUGACACAUUCCAGCACCAGAGGAUGCCUCUGCUCUGGCUGCUCUUCUUCCCAGUAUCUUCAUGAGGCCCUAGCAGAAAGUUUUAUCACACACAUUGGCCAUACAGCCCAUUCCCAGAUCAAAGGCACCCCGGUUAAUUCUGACAUUGUUGUUUUCUCAAGAAGGUUUAAAAGCAAAGUGCAAGAAUUCCUCCUUUUCUGUAAACGGGAGGAAUUUCCCAGAAUUUGAACUUUAAUGCCUUCUGAAUUUUCUAUACUGGUAAUAUUACAUCUUUCUUCACACAUUUUUAGUCUCAGAGUUUGGAACUUUUCCCUGCCAUCCUUAAUUGUUGGCCUGUGUCUCUGACAUACCCGUGCACACAAGAAGAUUUCUGCCCUCCAAAGAAUGGCAGCGAUGGGGAGCUGCUCUUCAUAGGCUGUGCUUGGGGCUGUUUUCAACCUGCUCUUUCCAACUUCGAUGAAAGUUUUUGGAGCACCCAGGCUUGAUUGAUGGAGACCAAGAACAAGCCAGCUUGAUUCCUUACAGGAACAGUACAUGUGCAUGUCUGAUUGAUAGGGGAGGGCUUGGAAGUGAACCUCCCUUGGAAGGCCACCUCCCUUCUCAGAACACCUUGGCCUGGAGGCCAGCCUUCUGGGGACAGCACCAGCUUCCCAUGGCACCAGCACCUCACUGAAGUCAGUGCUGGGUGCAGCAGAGAUGCAGCUAUCACAGUGGGAAGGUUUUUUGCUCCCCAUGCCUCUCUGGCUGCUCAUUUGAAAGAUGGACUGGGCUUAAGCUGACGGUUUCUAGUGCUUAGUGCUUGGAGUGCAGCUGGUCAGAAAUUUUCUGGCAUGCUCGCCUGGCAUAGAAAAAGCUAACACACCAGUAUCAAAACACACUGGAAACAUGUCAGUUUUGAUGAGAUCCUUCCAGGAAACAGGGAUAUUCAGGAUGGCAUCCCUCCUGCCAAGCACAGCUUGAAAGCCUGCCUACCUCGGGGCCCAGCAGCCCACCUGGCAGGCUGGGGACGGAGGCUGCCAAGCCCCUGGCUCCCUGGCAGGGGCAGUUCCUGGGGCUCCCCUUCUGCCGGGCUUCCUGGCCAGCCACCAAGCCCAGGGAAUGCUCAGGAGUGCUCUGUCUUUACACAUUUUUCCUUCUCUUUUGGAAUCAGUCUUGAUCGAGGCUUGUUUACUUGACUUUUUUUCUUUCUUUCUUUUUGGUGUUGUUGGCUUGUUAUUGUUUGCUUCCUUUUUAAUUGAGGAUCUCCCAGGACACAGAAAGAGCAGUUCCUAGUCAUCCCUUUAGCAAUAAUCUCUUGUGCGAGGAGGCUGGACAUCUUGCAGGUGGUUGGGCCACCUGUAAUGCUUCUCCUCCUCAGGAGGAAGGUCCCACAGGGCACAGCCACCACCUUCCCAACAUUUCCUGGGGUAAGGUCACACUCCUAUUGCACCUUGGCCAGAAUGAGGACCUUCUGGUGGACAGUGGUCCAAAUUUCUGCUCACAGGUCUCUGUACAUGUUAUUUGUUAUGGAUCAGUUAGAGGAUUUUGAAGAGAUAGAAGGAAAUACUUAAAGGCAGUUCUGGAGCAUUCCCAUUUCAGAGUUGAACAUGGUUCAAGGGUCUAAGGUACAUUUCAGUGGGUAUCUCCCAGCUCUGCCCAUGGGGUGGAAAGUGGGACCAAAGCAGGGAAUGAAAGGCUAAGCUGGAAGAUGGAGCCUCUUGGAAUGGUGUCAAAACCCCCUGGAGAUGCCAGCAGGAUCUCCCCUUUGCUCAACCCUGCGGGGUCAUUAGGUGAUGUUUCUUUCUUGGCACAGCUGCAAACACGGUCUGCUGCCCCUGUUACGCUCUGCUAGCAUUGUUUUCCCAGUGACUUCAGUGUUGAUCUAACAUAGCCGUUACCCCUUUUUCCCACUCUGAGAGGAGGUAUAACCUAGGCCAGGCCUGUUUUCCAUUAGCAUUGAACUUGCAGCAUGGGCACUUUCUCUGGUGCCAUUCAUGUGGGGGUGAGGAGGCAGCCAGGAGGGCUGGCUGCCGCCUCUGCUUCUUCUGCUGGAGCCUGGGCUUCUCCUUGGAGCUCCGUUGCCUCUCCCAUGGGCCGGCAGCUAAUUCCUCCACACCCCUGCGCAACGGAGCCGCUCUUCAGAAGAGACUUCCAAUCAUGACAAAUUAUCUGUGCUGAUUUUGUGACAUGAACUGUUACCCAUUAGGGAAUGAACUGACACCAAUAAAUUCAUUUCACUUACAACCUCA
rnacentral:lncRNA from 1 species